rnacentral:rRNA from 1 species
GAUGAACGCUGGCGGCGUGCCUAAUACAUGCAAGUCGAGCGAACAGACGAGGAGCUUGUUCCUCUGACGUUGGCGGCGGACGGGUGAGUAACACGUGGAUAACCUACUUAUAAUUCUGGGAUAACUUCGGGAAACCGGAGCUAAUACCGGAUAAUAUAUUGAACCGCAUGGUUCAAUAGUGAAAGACGGUUUUGCUGUCACUUAUAGAUGGAUCCGCGCCGCAUUAGCUAGUUGGUAAGGUAACGGCUUACCAAGGCAACGAUGCGUAGCCGACCUGAGAGGGUGAUCGGCCACACUGGAACUGAGACACGGUCCAGACUCCUACGGGAGGCAGCAGUAGGGAAUCUUCCGCAAUGGGCGAAAGCCUGACGGAGCAACGCCGCGUGAGUGAUGAAGGUCUUCGGAUCGUAAAACUCUGUUAUUAGGGAAGAACAAAUGUGUAAGUAACUAUGCACGUCUUGACGGUACCUAAUCAGAAAGCCACGGCUAACUACGUG